rnacentral:rRNA from 1 species
AGUGGCAAACGGGUGAGUAACGCGUGAGAACAUGCCUCUCAGAAAGGAAUAGCCUUUGGAAACGAAGAUUAAUACCUUAUAUUGCUUUAAAUGUAGUGUUUAAAGUCAAAGAUGAAAAUCGCUGAGAGAUUGGCUCGCGUCAGGUUUGUAGUUGGUAGGGUAAUGGCCUACCAAGCAAUGGCCUGUAGCUGGUUUGAGAGAACGGCUAGCCACACUGGGACUGAGACACGGCCCAGACUUCUACGGAAGGCAGCAGUGAGGAAUUUUGGACAAUGGAGGAAACUCUGAUCCAGGGAUACCGCGUGAGUGAAAAGGUCUUCGGAUUGUAAUGCUCUUUUUUUGGGGAAGAUAAUGACGGUACCCAUAGAAUAAGCACCGGCUAACUCUGUGCCAGCAGUCGCGGUCAUACAGAGGGUGCAAGCGUUGUUCGGAAUUACUGGGCGUAAAGGGUGCGUAGGCUGUUUCGUAAGUCUGUUGGGAAAUCUUUAAGCUUAACUUAAAAACUGCAAUAGAUACUGCGAAACUAGGGACCGGGAGAGGUAGAUGGAAUUUCUAUGUGUAGAGGUAAAAUUCGUUGAUACUAGAAGGAACACCAGAGGCGAAGGCGAUCUACUGGAACGGAUUCGACGCUGAGGCACGAAAGCGUGGGGAGCAAACAGGAUUAGAUACCCUGGUAGUCCACGCCGUAAACGAUGAGAGCUAGAUGUUGGGAAAUUUUCUCAGUGUCGCAGCUAACGCAAUAAGCUCUCCGCCUGAGGAGUAUAGUCGCAAGACCGAAACUUAAAGGAAUUGACGGGGACCCGCACAAGCGGUGGAACAUGUGGUUUAAUUCGAAGGCACGCGCAAAACCUUACCAGCUUUUGACAUUCUUAUUGUAGAGUUAAGUAAUUAAUUUGUCAUGUAAUGAUGGAUAAGAACAGGUGCUGCAUGGCCGUCGUCAGCUCGUGUCGUGAGAUGUUGGGUUAAGUCCCAUAACGAGCGCAACCCUCAUUCUUAGUUGCUAACAGGUAAUGCUGAGUUCUUUAAGAAAACUGAUGGCGAUAAGCCAUAGGAAGGUGGGGAUGAUGUCAGGUAUCAUGGCCCUUAUAGGCUGGGCUACGCAUGUGUUACAAUGGUAUUUACAGAAAGCAGCAAUCGGGUGACCGUGAGCUAAUCUUAAAAAAAUAUCUUAGUUCGGAUUGAUCUCUGCAAUUCGGGAUCAUGAAGUUGAAAUCGCUAGUAAUCGUGGAUCAGCACGCCACGGUGAAUACGUUCUCGGGUCUUGUACACACCGCCCGUCG